AAAAUAAAACUGGGAAACUGAGCCUAUACAAAUCGUGCACCCUUGUCGUGCACGACACUGUAAUUUGUAAAUAAAAAUAACAAAUGUUGCACAAUUGCAUUGAUGCAUUGCUUGGAAGCCAAAGUGGUCCUGUUUCUGAACGGUCAACGGUGCAAGGCGAAUCACUCUUCUCUAACCUCAUCAAGCAAGGCUCAAGCUUGGCUGGGGCAGGACACAAACGUCCACUGCACUUCAUAGCCUAUUCAUUAGUGGAUUAAACUGUAGUCUGAUCAUGCAAAAACAGGAAACUAGGGUCCCCUUUCAAGACCAAAUGUGUCAGGCGGUCAUCGUGGAUACUUUGUCGUCAGCCAUUCAUGGAGUUCAGACGUUUACAAAGAGUCUGCUGCGCUCGGUGACUCUGGCCGCGUCGGUUCGCGGCGCGGCGCGCGUGCCGGCACUGGGUCUGCUGGCUCUGGGUCGCGCCCCGACCAUCUGCUGGCAGAUGCAGGAGCCGCGGGGUCGGCUGGACCGGCUCGGCACAGCGGUCGCUCAGCUCGUCGACAGGGCACGCCUGGAUCCAGGGGCAGUCUCAACUGACGAUGAUGGCACGGGUCGGCUGGAAUUCGCCCUGGAUAUAGUCAACACAGAAUUUGACGACUUCUGCUCUAAACAGGCACAGACCAGCGGCCGGCUGCAGCUGACGGUGCUGACCUCUGACCCCGAGGUCAUCGGACGGCUGCGCCGCUGGAGCCGUGCCGCCGCGGCAGCCGCCACUGGCCUGCAGAAGAUACAGGUGUUUGAGGUGGUGGGUCCGAACGAGGCCACCCAGGAGGCCGAGUGGUGCGAGGACAUGGACGCUGACGGAGACGUCGAGGCCGUGCCGCUGGAGGUGCUGCGGACCACGGCCGGCGACUCGGCGCCCUUCGACCGACACUUUCAGUCAUGGUUGCUAGAACAAUCGACCUCCACCGAGCACGUACGUUUGCUGCUGCCGCCGCUGGAGGCGCCACUGUCGCUACACUGCGACAUGCAGGCGGCGCUAGUGUCGCCGCUGAGCCUUCCUUUCACCCACCGCCUUUUGCUGACACCUGAGAAGACGGGAUGGCACGCCGGCGGCCGGGGUGCGGUGGCGGUGUACCAUCUGGAGGUGACGGGUCGAGUGGCCCGCGCCGGUCUCUGCCAGUCAGCCAUCCACGGAGAGCCGCUGCUGCUGCGAGCCUCCGCCUGCGUGCGACAGAGCUGGGACGAGCUGGUCGCCAACUCGCAGAGUCUGCGUAGUCUGUGCUCGGAGCUGCUGGCCAGCGGUGAUGUCCUCAUAGCCCGGCUGGCUGGCGGUAAAACGCUGCCAGACGUCUCGGGACGCUUCGCCGUCAUGCCGGGUGACGGCUGAAGUCCGCCGCCGGCUGGCCGGUCUGUCCCGACGGGUCGAGUAUAACCCGCUAGAGGUUCCCUGUGGUCUCAGCGAGGCGCUGGCCGCACUGUCUCAGAAGCCGUCUGCGCCGCACGGAGCGGCCAACACGCAGGCACCUGGACCUGAGAGCGCCAGGCCAGGCCAGCCUCCCUCUUCUACUGCUAGCUCAGCCGGCCCGUCCCGCGGCGGCCGAGCCGGGGCUAGGGGCGGGACUACAGCAGGAGCCAGAGCCGGAUCCAGGGCUGGGGGUAGAGUUGGUCGAGGUGGGGCGCGGGGAGGAUCCGGCAGGGGGCGGCCGCUCUUCUGGAAAGAGGACUGGGCGGAGACCGGUCAGUAAAAACCUGGUAGCUAGCUCGACCAAUGUGAUAGUGUAGUGUCUGAGCGCCAUUAUAUACGGCUGUGACAUUUUCAGGUGCCGUUUCUCGAGUUUGUUUGUACUUUGUGGCGUAGUAUUUUUUUUCCACUGAUAAGUGAUAUCGUCGAGUCGUAUUUUCGUGGCAAAUUUGUUCUUUAUUACGAUGUAAGAGCAUUCAAAAGGCCACUUGGCCUGUGCAAGACACAUUGUGUUAUAUUAUUGUUCGAUAAUUCAGACGCAUUGCUAUUCGUUACUUUGAACGCCAUUUAGGCUUCCGUUGCUGAUGAAUAUGCUGGUAGUUGGAAGCACAUAUCCAAUACAGGCGAUAUUUUAGUGAA
rnacentral:misc_RNA from 1 species